CCAAGGUGAUUAACGGUCAGAAGAAAAUUUUCUUGGGGAAAUUAUACUAAGCUGGUUUAGUUUGUCUGCUAGGGCAUUAGCCCUUCUCCUCCAUGACUAGAGGAGAAGCAGUGGGACAAAUAUGUCAACUCAGAGGUUCAUAUAAACAGGCUGGUGAAACUUAGUCUUGAUGCAUCUUCUGUCAGGCUCUGAGUUCUAAAGUGCCUGCUUUCUAUACCAAGAGUGAUUCAUGCUGCCUCUAAGACUUGUGUAUGUGGCUCCAGAGGAUCAUCUUCAGGGUGUGGUGAACACUGGUUACAAGGACAUGCCAAGUAGAAUGGCUACUCAAGCCAGUAGCCUUUUUUCCAGCAACAUCUUGAAAUUAUUAAAGCUGUUUCUCCUAAGAAAGAAUAUUUUCACUUUGAACAAAAGGACAAUUUCGAUUAUAGGGCUAUUGAUCAUGUCAUUAGAGGAAUUUGGGUAAUAAAGGUAACAUGAAACCAAAGUACAGACAUGCAAAACAUCUAGGUAUUGGCAGACUGGAGUUACUUUUCAGCUAAGGAAGUGUUUGUAAAGAGAGGCAUAUUCAUGCUAAGCUUUUAAGGAACACA